UUAUAUCUUCAGGGCGGGGUGUGAUUCCCCACCGGUGGUAAAUUGCAACUGCAAAAGCCCACGAGCGAUAAAUUUUUCUUAUUGCUGAUUUGGUGUAAUUCCAAAGCCGACGGUAUAGUCCGGAUGAAAGAAGACGACC
rnacentral:ncRNA from 1 species